GACGAACGCUGGCGGCGUGCUUAACACAUGCAAGUCGAACGGAAAGGCCCUGCUUUUGUGGGGUGCUCGAGUGGCGAACGGGUGAGUAACACGUGAGUAACCUGCCCUUGACUUUGGGAUAACUUCAGGAAACUGGGGCUAAUACCGGAUAGGAGCUCCUGCUGCACGGUGGGGGUUGGAAAGAUUCGGCGGUUGGGGAUGGACUCGCGGCUUAUCAGCUUGAUGGUGGGGUAGUGGCUUACCAAGGCUUUGACGGGUAGCCGGCCUGGGAGGUUGGCCGGGCACAUUGGGACUGAGGUACGGCCCAGACUCCUACGGGAGGCAGCAGUGGGGAGUAUUGCACAAUGGGCGGAAGCCUGAUGCGGCAACGCCGCGUUCGGGAUGACGGCCUUCUGGUUGUAAACCGCUUUCGCCUGUGACGAAGCGUGAGUGACGGUAAUGGGUAAAGAAGCACCGGCUAACUACGUG
rnacentral:rRNA from 1 species